ensembl:lncRNA
GAAUGCAGCACUGCUGGGAGUGCAGCACUGCUGGGAAUGCAGCACUGCUGGGGAUGCAGCACUGCUGGGAGUGCAGCACUGCUGGGAGUGCAGCCCGAGCCGGGAGUGCAGCCCGCGCUGGCUGAGCGUGGAUGAAAUCCCGGUGGGAUGCAGCUGGAGCAGGAGCAGCGCAGGGCAGGCGGUGGCACACGGAGCUCCUGCAGGGAGCGGAACACAGCACGGAGCAGGAGGCCACAGGCAGCUUCCCACGGCACAGGGCAGCAGCAGCUCAGAGCAGGGUGCCAGGGGCAGAUCGCCCUGGCACAGCAGCAGCAGCACCAGCACAGAGCAGGGUGCCAGGGGCAGAUCUCCCUGGCAGGAGCAGCAGCACUGGCACAGCACAGAGCAGCGCAGACCAGGGUGCCAGGGGCAGAUUUCCCUGGCAGAGCAGGAGCAGCACCAGCACAGAACACCAACGUGGUGCAGACCACCAGGACAGAACCAGAGCUGAUUCCCCCAGCACAGAGGGAGGAGCAGCACCAGCACAGAGCAGAGCAGGGUGCCAAGGGCAGAUUUCCCUGGCACAGCACAGGAUGCCAGCAGCACAGAGCACUGGCACAACACAGGAUGCCAGAGCCAGAUUGCUCUGGCAGAGCAGGAGCAGCACCAGCACAGAGCAGGAUGCCAGGGGCAGAUUUCCCUGGCAGGAGCNNNNNNNNNNNNNNNNNNNNNNNNNNNNGCAGGAGCAGCACUGGCACAAACCCUGGCACAGAGCAGUGCAGCCCAGGGUGCCAGAGCCAGUUUCCUAUGGCACAGCAGGAGCAGCACAGAGCAGGAUGCCAGAGGUGGUUUUCCCUGGCACAGCAGGAGCAGCACCAGCACAGAGCAGCAUUUCAGAGCCAGCUCUCCCANNNNNNNNNNNNNNNNNNNNGCUCUCCCAAGGAUUUCAGAGCCAUCUCUCCCAGGAGCAGGAUUUCAGAGCCAGCUCUCCCAAGGAUUUCAGAGCCAUCUUUCCCAAGGAUUUCAGAGCCAGCUUUCCCAGGAGCAGCCCCACACGGCUCUUGCACAGGGACAAUUCCUGUUUGCAGCUCUCUCCCCGUGUGCCCCUGGCAAAGGGCAGCCCUGGGGUGGUGCCAGCGGCCGUGCCCCAUCUCCAGGCCAGGCAGGAGCAGGCACCAGGGCUCUCUCCUGAGGGUGCCCAGAGAUUCUGGAAGGCUGCAGGGGGAACGUGACGAGGAUUCUGAGGAGCAUCAGUGAGAUUCCUGUGGUGGGUCGGGGAUUCCUCCUGGAGCCAGGUGCAGCUCCCACGGUCCCAGUUCACGGGAGGGCUCUGGGCACAGGCAGCACGCUGGGGACCUCAGACCCGGAGGAUUUCGGGGCUUGGGGCGGAAUGUGGCCGGUGGGACGCUCCACGGGGCUCUCGCAGCCUGCUCCUCCCCUCAGCAAGGAGCACCCCCGAUGGCAAAGAGGGAGAAAUCAGCUGGGGACCUGCAGGAGAGGGGCUGAUUUCCCAGAGGGAACGGAUCCGCCCGGGGGCUCCUGCAGCAGCUCCCACCCACCCCUGGGAAGGGGCUGCCGGGGGUGCAGCCCCGUCCCCGACAGCCCCUCGGAGCAGGACCAGGGCACGUCCUGGGACGGAGCUGCCGGGCUCGGCCGAGUCUUCUGCCAGCUGCUGCCUGCCCAGAGCGGGGCUGGGCCCCCCGA